rnacentral:rRNA from 1 species
AUACACGAAAGUGUGACAGGGCUAUCCCGAGUGCCAUCCCGCUGAGGAAGGCUUUUACCCAGUCUAGAAAGCUGGGGGAAUAAGGAGAGGGCAAGUCUGGUGUCAGCCGCCGCGGUAAUACCAGCUCUCCGAGUGGUGUGGAUGUUUAUUGGGCCUAAAGCAUCCGUAGCUGGCUAAGUUAGUCCCCUGUUAAAUCCAACGAAUUAAUCGUUGGAUCGCGGGGGAUACUGCUUGGCUAGGGGACGAGAGAGGCAGACGGUAUUUCCGGGGUAGGGGUGAAAUCCUAUAAUCCCGGGAAGACCACCAGUGGCGAAGGCUGUCUGCUAGAACGCGCCCGACGGUGAGGGAUGAAAGCUGGGGGAGCGAACCGGAUUAGAUACCCGGGUAGUCCCAGCUGUAAACGAUGCAGGCUAGGUGUUUGGACGGCCACGUGCCGUUCUAGUGCCGCAGGGAAGCUGUUAAGCCUGCCGCCUGGGGAGUACGAUCGCAAGAUUGAAACUUAAAGGAAUUGGCGGGGGAGCACCACAAGGGGUGAAGCUUGCGGUUUAAUUGGAUUCAACGCCGGGAAGGGC